GUGUCAGCAGCCGCGGUAAUACGUAGGGUGCGAGCGUUAAUCGGAAUUACUGGGCGUAAAGCGUGCGCAGGCGGUUCGUCGUGUCCGAUGUGAAAGCCCCGGGCUCAACCUGGGAAUGGCAUUGGAAACUGGCGGACUCGAGUGUGGCAGAGGGGGGUGGAAUUCCGCGUGUAGCAGUGAAAUGCGUAGAGAUGCGGAGGAACACCGAUGGCGAAGGCAGCCCCCUGGGCUAACACUGACGCUCAGGCACGAAAGCGUGGGGAGCAAACAGGAUUAGAUACCCUAGUAGUCC
rnacentral:rRNA from 1 species